rnacentral:rRNA from 1 species
CAAGGAAUAUUGCGCAAUGGGCGAAAGCCUGACGCAGCAACACCGCGUGGAGGACGAUGGUCUUCGGAUCGUAAACUCCUUUUCUGAGGGAAGAGAAAGGACGGUACCUCAGGAAUAAGGCCCGGCUAACUACGUGCCAGCAGCCGCGGUAAAACGUAGGGGUCGAGCGUUAUCCGGAUUUACUGGGCGUAAAGCGCAUGUAGGUGGUUUUUUAAGUUGGACGUGAAAGCUCCUGGCUCAACUGGGAGAGGUCGUUCAAAACUAAAAAACUUGAGGGUGGUAGAGGAGAGUGGAAUUCCCGGUGUAGUGGUGAAAUGCGUAGAUAUCGGGAGGAACACCAGUGGCGAAGGCGGCUCUCUGGGCCAUUCCUGACACUCAGAUGCGAAAGCCAGGGGAGAGAACGGGAUUAGAAACCCCGGUAUUCCUGGCUGUAAACGAUGUCAACUAGGUGUAGGGGGUAUCCAAUCCCUCUGUGCUGUAGCUAACGCGUUAAGUUGACCGCCUGGGGACUACGACCGCAAGGUUAAACUAC